GUGGAUGUACUAACACUAAAGUUAUAAAACUAGUAAUUGAAAAGAAGUGAGAUUUGAGGAUGAGACCGUGAAGGGGUGAUGCGAAGAAGAAGAGGAGGGGCGCAAGGAGGCAGAGAAAGAGGACAACGAGAAGAGGGAAAUGGGAUCCCUUGGUUCUGUUGUUGUUGGAUGGCAUUGCAGAUCUUAAUCCAUGUCUUGUCUCUUUGUGUUAGCUUCUAUAGUUCUUUUCUCUCUCACACACAGGCAUUCACUCCCUUUCUCUCUCUCUAUAUAUGUUCAUCACUGAGUGCACGAUCGUCGCCACCAAGAUCAGAGGUGGUGGUUUUUCA
rnacentral:lncRNA from 1 species